AGAGUUUGAUCCUGGCUCAGAACGUACGCUGGCGGCACGCCUAACACAUGCAAGUCGAACGAAGUAGCAAUACUUAGUGGCAGACGGGUGAGUAACAUGUGGGUAUCUACCCUUUGGCCUGGAAUAACACGAGGAAACUUGUGCUAAUACCGGAUAAGUCUUUACGGAGAAAGCUUUAUGCACCAUUGGAGGAGCCCGCACUUGAUUAGUUUGUUGGUAGGGUAAUGGCCUACCAAGACUAUGAUCAAUAGCUGAUUUGAGAGGAUGAUCAGCCACAUUGGGACUGAGACACGGCCCAAACUCCUACGGGAGGCAGCAGUGGGGAAUCUUGCACAAUGGAGGAAACUCUGAUGCAGCGAUGCCGCGUGAGUGAAGAAGGCCUUUGGGUUGUAAAGCUCUUUCGUCGGGGAAGAAAAUGACUGUACCCGAAUAAGAAGGUCCGGCUAACUUCGUGCCAGCAGCCGCGGUAAUACGAAGGGACCUAGCGUAGUUCGGAAUUACUGGGCUUAAAGAGUUCGUAGGUGGUUGAAAAAGUUGGUGGUGAAAUCCCAGAGCUUAACUCUGGAACUGCCAUCAAAACUUUUCAGCUAGAGUAUGAUAGAGGAAGGCAGAAUUUCUAGUGUAGAGGUGAAAUUCGUAGAUAUUAGAAAGAAUACCAAUUGCGAAGGCAGCUUUCUGGAUCAUUACUGACACUGAGGAACGAAAGCAUGGGUAGCGAAGAGGAUUAGAUACCCUCGUAGUCCAUGCCGUAAACGAUGUGUGUUAGACGUUGGAAAUUUAUUUUCAGUGUCGCAGGGAAACCG
rnacentral:rRNA from 1 species